ensembl:lncRNA
GGGACAGCAUACAUUUCACAUUAACAAGGAUCACAAGCCUAUAUAGGACAAACUACACCUCUAAAAAACACAGGGGUCAAUAAGGUGUCCAGAAAUACCUACAGCAGCUGGAGCAAUAACACCAAGCCUUACAUUAGCUGAUAGUCUGUGGAACCCAGGACGACCAGAUACCUGCAUCUCUACCAGUUUCUGUGCACUCCAGCCUCUUCUGAGAGGGUGUUUUUUUUUUUUUUUUUUAAGGCAGGAGAAGUUACUCCAUGAAAACAAGCAGACUCAGCCAUCACACAGUGGAACAAAUUCCCUUCUUAAAUGAAAAAGGGUUACCUUAAAAGCAUCAUGUUUUUAAUUUGCAAGUUCAUAAGCAUUUUCCCUUUCCAGUUCACAAUCAAUUCUG